rnacentral:rRNA from 1 species
GGUGCGAUCAUACCAGCACUAAUGCACCGGAUCCCAUCAGAACUCCGAAGUUAAGCGUGCUUGGGCGAGAGUAGUACUAGGAUGGGUGACCCCCUGGGAAGUCCUCGUGUUGCACCC